CUCAUCUUAGUCUCUGAAAUUUCCCUUUCUCCUUUAGCAAUUUUUAAUAUCAAACCAACAAGGUGGCAAGGGACAAAAAAACACUUAGAAAAAGUGCAAUAGCAGAUUGCAGAAAAAACCAAAAAAAGUCCAAGAACCAAAAAAUGCAAACCAGAUGGGAAGAUCAAGUGGACAGAGGUGCAACACUAUGGGAAGAUUGCUGGAAGAAGG
rnacentral:misc_RNA from 1 species